GGCAGAGUCAAAAUCGGUGUAGGAACCCAACAUGAUGACGUGGACCCCCGAGACCUCAAACGAGUAGUACAAGUUAGAAGUUGAACCACUCUCUUCAAACGGCAUAUGCCACCUUGCAUUGUAGGCGGUUAAUGGGCUUGGGUGGAUGGCCGGGAUUCUCUCAACCUCGUGGUUGCCUUGUGUCACCAUCCAUGUUCGUUGGCUCGCUAACGGCUCAACGAGGCGUCCGUAAGAGUCCCAAAGUGGUUGCAACAUAUCGGCAUAUGACAAAUCUCCGGGUAGUAGAAGCACAUCAUAGUUUGUUUGUGAAAUGUGUUCAAGGGUAGAUUUGGUCCAUCCGGUUUGUCCAAGUUACCUGAAAUGACAAAUUUUAUUGGAAAACUGGCCGGAGGAGUCUUGAAAGAAUACCCAUGAGUCGUACCAAGGGCAAAACAAUAAUAGUAUAUGGUAUUCGGGUCUAAUGGACCUAUUACUACGUCGUGUAUUUCACCUGACGUGUAAGUUAGGUAUUCAUAAGAAGAAAUGGUCCCGUUAGCAGAAUGAUCAUAUU
rnacentral:lncRNA from 1 species